GUGCUGACUUCAGCAGCACAUAUGCUAAAAUUGGAAUGACACAGGGAAAAUUAGCAUGGCCCCUGCUCAAGGAUGACACACAAAUUGAUGAAGUGUUCCAUAUUUUU